rnacentral:rRNA from 1 species
UACGUAGGGGGCGAGCGUUGUCCGGAAUCAUUGGGCGUAAAGCGCGUGUAGGCGGCCCGGUAAGUCCGCUGUGAAAACCCAGGGCUUAACCCUGGGCUUGCAGUGGAUACGGGUAGACUAGAGGCAGGUAGGGGAGAAUGGAAUUCCCGGUGUAGCGGUGAAAUGCGCAGAUAUCGGGAGGAACACCGGUGGCGAAGGCGGUUCUCUGGGCCUGACCUGACGCUGAGGAGCGAAAGCGUGGGGAGCGAACAGG